rnacentral:pre_miRNA from 1 species
GGUUUCUGGAAUGGAGGCUGGUCCAAGAUCCUUAGGUGUUAAAGCAUUAUAUUGCCUUGUUUCUGGUUUUGUGUUUGAGAUCUCGGACCAGGCUUCAUUCCUCAAACC